AAUGUCCUUAAGAAAAAUUUAUGGUACAAUUCGAAGACGGAUUUAAUUGAAGGGUUUCAAGACCAUGCUACACAAGGUAGAUCUCCACAGCCAGCUUCAUAUGCCCUUGUAUUUAUGAUAGUUGGAGUCAGGAAACAUUUUAAGCAGCCAGUGGCUUAUUAUUUAUCAAGCGGUUCUGUCACAGCUGACAGACUUUCAGCUUUGAUUAAGGAGGUUUUAAAUUGUUGCUUUGAUGCUGGGAUAAACAUAUGCGCUUCAGUCUGUGACUUGGAUGGAGUCAACAAGAGAGCUCUAUGUCAAUUAGGAGCUUCUGUUGAGAAUCCCUUCAUAGAAGUGAGCAAUCACAAAAUUGUCACUCUAUUUGACACACCACACCUGCUGAAGUGCUUCAGAAAUCUUUUCAUGAAAUAUCAUGUAAGAUUUAGGACCAAUAUAACAUCAGACCACCAACAAGGAAUUGGAGUCGCUAAAUGGAGCCACAUCAAGCAAUUUUAUGAAUUGGACAAUAAUAAUCCCAAUUUUGUGUUUGCACCAUGCCUAAGUAAACAACACCUUGAGCCUAAUUCCAAACAAAAUGAGGGUAAAACUUGCGGCACAAGUUUUAAGCCACUCAGUUGCAGCAGGACUAUAUACUAAAAUAGCUGGAGGAGACAUGCCGACUGAAGCCUUGGCAACGGCUAAUUUAAUUUCAAGCAUGGACGAUUUGUUUGAUGGUGUAAACGCGUCGACACCAGACUUAAGGAGAGGAAAAAUAUUUUCCACAAAUAUAAAACACAAUACAGGACAUCUCCAAAUGUUCGAUAAAAUGAAAUUUUUUUUUAAAACCCUGGAAUUCUUGGGAUGCAGGGGUAAUCCCCCAUCAAAAGAUGGCUGGAUUUGGACCCUCAAUGGGUUAGAAAUGGUUUGGAAAAUUCUAAGUGCCAAACAUACUACAGUUAAAAGUUUAUCCACGAGAAGAUUCCAGCAGGAUCCUCUUGAAAAUUUAUUUGGAUGCAUUCGAUUCAACUGUGGAUCCAAUAGCAACCCAACAGUUGCACAAUUCGUUGCUGGAUUAAAAACAGCUGUAAUAAGCAACAUGGCACAUACUAGCUCAGGUAAUUGUGAGCUGGAUAGCAACAGUGCCAUAAUUACCAAUUUUAAAAAAUUAUUGACACCAGCCACAGACAUGCACACUGAAACUGAACAAUCGGAGUCUGUUAUAGAAAAUGAAAUUGAAGAAAAUAUUAUUUCCUCCCUGGAACAAAAUUUGGAGGAAGGAAGUAGCGAACUACAAGCAUGUGCUUAUGUCUGUGGCUUCAUAAUUAAAAAUAUAAAAAUAUUUGUAAGAACUGUAAAAAUAUUUUAGUCUCCGAAACACCAGAAGAAGUGCAUAAUUUUAUAGAGUUUAAAAAUUAUGAUUCGGUAAAAAAUUCUCUUACAUACGCCUCUAAAAAUUUAAUAGAUUGUGUAGAAAAAAGUGCAAACAUAAUUAAUAUUUUUUUAGAAAAAGAGGCGUAUAAAGAGAAUAUAAAAAAAAAAAUAACACAAUUACUAAAGGACUCUAUAAAUUAUGUCUUCCUCGAAAAUUGUAUGGAGCACAAAGAAUUAAAUAUAAAUUAUAUAAUAAAUAGUGUCUUCCAUAUUAAUAUAAAGAGA